rnacentral:rRNA from 1 species
AAUCAACGUUGGCGGCGCGCUUAACACAUGCAAGUCGAACGAGAAAGUGGAGCAAUCCAUGAGUAAAGUGGCGGACGGGUGAGUAACACGUGGGUAUCCAUUCUUUGGUGGGGAAUAACUCUAGGGAAACCGGAGCUAAUACCGCAUAAGUCCGAGAGGAGAAAGGUGAAAAUCGCCGAAGAAGGAGCCCGCGGCUGAUUAGCUAGUUGGUGAGGUAACGGCCCACCAAGGCGAAGAUCGGUAGCCGGCCUGAGAGGGCGGACGGCCACACUGGGACUGAGACACGGCCCAGACUCC